AACGCUGGCGGCGUGCCUAAUACAUGCAAGUAGAACGCUGAAGAGAGGAGCUUGCUCUUCUUGGAUGAGUUGCGAACGGGUGAGUAACGCGUAGGUAACCUGCCUUGUAGCGGGGGAUAACUAUUGGAAACGAUAGCUAAUACCGCAUAACAAUGGGUGACACAUGUCAUUUAUUUGAAAGGGGCAAUUGCUCCACUACAAGAUGGACCUGCGUUGUAUUAGCUAGUAGGUGAGGUAGCGGCUCACCUAGGCGACGAUACAUAGCCGACCUGAGAGGGUGAUCGGCCACACUGGGACUGAGACACGGCCCAGACUCCUACGGGAGGCAGCAGUAGGGAAUCUUCGGCAAUGGGGGCAACCCUGACCGAGCAACGCCGCGUGAGUGAAGAAGGUUUUCGGAUCGUAAAGCUCUGUUGUAAGUCAAGAACGAGUGUGAGAGUGGAAAGUUCACACUGUGACGGUAGCUUACCAGAAAGGGACGGCUAACUACGUGCCAGCAGCCGCGGUAAUACGUAGGUCCCGAGCGUUGUCCGGAUUUAUUGGGCGUAAAGCGAGCGCAGGCGGUUUGAUAAGUCUGAAGUUAAAGGCUGUGGCUCAACCAUAGUUCGCUUUGGAAACUGUCAAACUUGAGUGCAGAAGGGGAGAGUGGAAUUCCAUGUGUAGCGGUGAAAUGCGUAGAUAUAUGGAGGAACACCGGUGGCGAAAGCGGCUCUCUGGUCUGUAACUGACGCUGAGGCUCGAAAGCGUGGGGAGCGAACAGGAUUAGAUACCCUGGUAGUCCACGCCGUAAACGAUGAGUGCUAGGUGUUGGAUCCUUUCCGGGAUUCAGUGCCGCAGCUAACGCAUUAAGCACUCCGCCUGGGGAGUACGACCGCCAAGGUU
rnacentral:rRNA from 1 species